AGACCUAAAAUUUAACUCUUUU
rnacentral:miRNA from 1 species